rnacentral:rRNA from 1 species
CGUGUAAGUGGUUUGGUAAGUAGGGCGUGAAAGCUCCUGGCUCAACUGGGAGAGGCCGUUCUAAACUGCCGAACUAGAGGAUGGUAGAGGGAGGUGGAAUUCCGGGUGUAGCGGUGGAAUGCGCAGAUAUCCGGAGGAACACCAGUGGCGAAAGCGGCCUCCUGGACCAUUCCUGACACUCAGACGCGAAAGCUAGGUAGCAAACG